AAAAUUCUUCAAGGUUUAGCGCAAGCAAUAAUAGAGAACUUCAAAAACUACCAUCCUUAAAAGAUUUGUUGUCACCAGCACUUUGUGAAGGUUCCUGGGGUGGCCUGGAGCAGCUUUUCCCGCAGCUCCCUCACACUGCCACCUUAUGACAGGGAUAAUGAGAUGGACCCGGAUUUCAGAAACAAUAAAAUGUGGAAUGUGUCCAUGAAAUAGGGUUGAAAGUUUGACUUGGAACUCAGUGGGCCUGUUGCUUUUCUCUAUGAAACGUCUGUAGCUUCU
rnacentral:lncRNA from 1 species